rnacentral:lncRNA from 1 species
CUAAUAGUUUAAAAUCGUUUGUAAAUGUAUAAAAACUUCAUAUUCAAAUAAUAUUGUAAUUUUCCGAAUUUAAUUUGAACUUAUACGAAUACCCCGGACGUAGCCCGGGAAAAGUCCCUAGUAUCACUAAUUAUUAUAAUUCACAUCCCAUUCAGUGCCUACAAAGCCCAUAAUAAAAUCAUAUUGUCAACCAAAAGAAACAACCCACUAUAUAACACAAGCACAUCAUAAAAUGUAAAAACACAUAAUUUUAAAAAUCAAUUCCAUCAACGCAUGAGACUACCCCAAUCCAAGCUUUAUAUCAAUAUCAUGGCCAAAUUGCCAACCAUGGCUAACGAAUUUUCUUGAAAAUAUUGCAACACUAAACACAACCAGCGGCCAACGCAACAAAACUUUAGACACUAUAGUCCACAAAUACGUAAAGGAAAAUACACUUCUACCAAAUUUAACUGCAAACAACAAUUAUAACACGAACGAAAACCUAACUACGAAAUGUACUGUUAGAUGGACUGUUUAGUCCACAAAUACGUAAAGGAAAAUACACUUCUACCAAAAUUAACUACAAACACCAAAUAUAACACAAACAAAAAAUCAACUACGAAAUAUACAGCUAGAUGGACUGUUUACGCCCCCUC